GCAAUUAACAAUAUUUCCAGGAGAAAUACAGUCCCUUUGCCUCUCUCUCCCUCACCUGCAAAAGUAGAAUAGACUGGGAGUUACAAACACCAGUGUUCCUUUAGUUUGCAUUUUCCCACAAUUAGAUGGGUAAAGAAAUGUGACUGUGGGCAAUCACCAUGCUUUAAUGAAAGCCUUUUUCAGCUUGAGAAAACAUUAUCUGAUUGAUAGUGGCUUUCCUAGCUGAAAAUAAAUGGUUACUGCUUAAAGGGUAAGAGUCUCUCUGUGAGCUACAGGGCUACCUAGGUGAACCAUGAGCACAAUUGUUUUCAACCAACAAAACCUUAUCAAAGAGGUUGUACCGAUGGCCUCUUAAAAUAGAUGAGCCACUCAAAGAGUCUGGAGGUGCUGUAUUCUGUGUCUUCUCAGAUGUACACAGUAUACCAAUAAAGAAACAUGGUUCCUAGGUCAGAUAUAUACCUUUUGCUGAUUGUAUG
rnacentral:lncRNA from 1 species